GAGGAUGUAGCUCAGUGGUAGAGUGCUUGCCUAGAGUGAAUGAAGCCCUGGGUUCCAUCCCCAGCACCAUGA
rfam:Ictidomys tridecemlineatus contig001448, whole genome shotgun sequence.